CCCAUGAACAGGUCUAUAUAUAUGUAUGUAUGUAUGUAUACGCCUAAAUGCUAUUAAAAAUUCUGAAGAAAAGCAAACUGGGAGGAAAGUCGAUAAGCAUCAAAUCCAUCUUUUCCAUCAAAUGACGAAAGAAUGUGACUCUUUGAUCUGGAAUGUCUUGAUAGAGCCCUUUGUUCUCCAUCGUGGUUAAUUGACAAUCUUCCUCAUGCUCAUGUUAAGCAUUUAGUGGUAGGUAGAAGUGACCAUCGUCCAAUUGCACAUUAUYUUCAAGCAAAAAACAGAUAUUGACGAAAACAUAUCCGAUCGAUUCGAAGCCAUUUGGACAAAAAUUGAUAACUACAAAGACAAGUUCAAUAGGCUCUUUUAGAGAUAAAUACAUCAAUUGUAAGCAGCAUCUGAACCACUAGGAUAAAGAGGAACAUGGCAAUUUCAGGAGUAAAAUUGUGGAACUUGAGAAGAAAUUAAACGCCUAUCAAAACAAUGUCAUAGAGGAAACUCUCCUCAGAAAGGAACUUGAUGGUUUACCAAGGCUAGAGGAGUUGUUGUAUUGGAAACCGAAAUUAGCUUAAAUGCAAAAUGAGCAAAUGAAUAAUGAUGGAAUGGGGUACAGACCGAAGAUACCCAUAACACCAACACAAUAGAAAUAUAUGUCACAAACAAGAAUGAAACUAGGGGCAAGCUAUGAGUAAAAUAUAAUGGUUUAGUGCUAUAAAGAAUAGUUCCAGCAAGACAAUGGUUCAGCAGUAAAAGUUAACAGCAAGAAGAAUAUGAGCAAUGAUGAUAAUAACUAAAGUGCUUGAGCAGAAAAUCAAGUAGGAUUAAAUAAACUAAUCAAUAAAGCAAAGAGAUAACAAUUAUGUGUAUAACAGAAUUCGCAAGRCAGACUUUAACCAAGCAGUACGAGAGUUAAAAAGAAUGCAAAUAAGGCUUAUAGACUGAUUAUGAAUGUUGAUAUUGGAUUGGUACAGCUGCUACAAUUAUCAAGAAAUGAUAGAAUGAGGUAAGACUGAGGUGAUUUGUACAGGAAAUAUUAAAUGCUAAUAUUGAAUUAUUAAUGAAUGGCAGUUUAUCAAAUAAAGUUAAAUAGCUAAUUUAGACAAAAGAGAUUUUAACGAUUCGGGUUUGAUUCUGCUAAUAUGAAGAAAGGAACAAAUCAGACAUGUGUGUUUCUCAAAUGUUUCAAGGGUAAACUAAUCAAAUCAUUCUACUAAACAAAGUAGAUCAUGAAAGAAAAUCACAAUAGACGGGGAGUUUAGUACUUUCCGGUUCAGAUAACAUUGGGUUUCUUCUCCCUUUGCAAAUACGGUGAUGAUGGAACAUGCAAUCGGAUGAAGCUUUCCUCUACGAGAUCAAAUGGAGCGAACAGAGGUGUGCUUCAUCAGCCUAUUCAUGCCUGAUUCGUGUUUGUGCUCUGAUAUGUUGAAUCAAUGGUGGGCUGAUUGCAGCCCUGUUGUGAAGUCGAGUGGGUGGUUGCCCCAAUGAAGUGAAAGAGAAAGGGAAUGAUUGCUAGAAUUUAAACGGAACUUGAUGCUGAGAGGAUGAAGUAAGUGUUCCUUAGACAAAGGUGCAUUCUGUGUUCUGCAAGGCGCCUCCCUUUUGGGGUUUAAAAGCUUUUUGGGAGGAAGAGAUUAGGGCUUCCUUUUGAAAUGGAAAGAGGGGGGCAUGGGAGGAGAGAGGAAGAGAGGGGCAAACUAGAAUGGAAGGAAGGAAAUUGGUGGGAAAGAGGAGAAGAUGGUGGAGCGGAAUCGGGGAGGGAGAUUUGGACGGAAAUAUGGGUGAAGAGAAGUGUGGAGGGAGGAGGAGAAGAGAGAAGGAAAGAAGAGGGAGAGGGAGAGGGAGAGGCGAAAAAAAGGGGAGAAGAGGAAAGGGAGUGGGGCCAAGUGGGGUCAUCAGAAAUAAAAAGAAAAGAAAAAAAAGGUCUGGUGGUACUUACAGAAACAAAAGGCUCAUGUGGAUCGACUUAAAAGGGCGGCAAAAAUAUUAAUUAUUUUCACAUCUCAGCCUCUUCUAACAAGCACAGGAGGAAUGGUAUACAUUGGCUCAAAGAUCAAAUAUAGAAAUUGGAGCUCAAAUAGUACAGUCAUUGAAAGUGCUCCUAGMCCGGAUGGCACUGAUGCUCUCUUCUUUCAAAGCAGUUGGGACUGGGAGAUAACAAGUAAUGAUCCGGUGGCUUCUAUCCACAAUGCUUUCCAAAUUCCAGAAAUCAUCAAAGAGGUUAAAGUGAACAUACUGAAGAAACUUAAAGAAAAGGGGACACGAUCACGAGCAAGUAAAUCAGGGAUCCGCCCGACCACUAGUAACACACCCAAUAUAGAAGAUACACGGGCACAUGCAAGUCAAUCAGUGGCUCAUCCAACUACUAAAUCAACACCUGAUGUAGAUGAUACUACAUCACCAACUCAGUCACAGACUUGGGAAGGCAUGAGGAGUCCUCUAGUGGGCAUGUUGGAGAGGGGCCUUCUCAUACAACACGUAGGUUAAGAGGCCCCACUAUGGCAUUAGAUAUAUGAAACAUGCUUGAAGGGGAACAAAUUGAAGUAGGGUCCAAUGGAUACAACCAACCCAAAGAUGAAAAAGCAAAGGACUUAGAUUUUUGGGUAGCCUUGCAUGAACUCUAAACCAAUUGCCCAUAAACAUCGACUAUUGGAGAGAAAUUCCUAUAGAAACAAAGGAAGACAUAUUAAAUUCAUUGUUUUUUCGGUUUAUUUUUUAGACAUUUCUCUUAUGCAGACAUGAUAUUUUGGUUAUAGAAAAAAUUCAAGGUGAGUGAUGGCAUGAAAAGACUAUAAUAUGAAGUCAUUGGGUAAAAAGUGGAGGGAUUGGAAGUCCACUUUGAAGAAAAAGUAUUAUGACCCUGAUUCACAUAGUGCAGAUGCACUACCAAUUGAGCAGCUUGGAAAUCAGGUUGAUGCACACCAAUGGAAAAUUUUGGUUCAGUUUUGGAGAUCUGAAAAGGGGACUGUAAGUAUCCUAAAUAUUUAAAAUAUUUUUGUUUUUAAUUUGAAUGAGUGAAAAGUAAAUUAGUUGUAUUUUAAUAUAGGCAAGAUCCAUAACCAACAAAGCUAACCACUCCAAACAAAAAGUCAAUCAUACAACAGGAGCAAAAAGCUUUGCAAGAGUACUUGGGGAAUUGAUAAACAUACAAAUUUGAUUUGUUCAUUAUACUCUUUACAUUCAUUCAUUUUUGUAUGUGUUAAAAUAAUUACAUGUUGUUUUCAUGGUAACAAUAAAUAGAGAGGGAAGUUAAUAUAUCAUGUGCGGAGGUAUUCUAUGCAACACACAAGAAAAAAGAUGGAACACCUAUAGAUCCAAGAUCAGGUUCUUUAAUGGUAUACUUAUUCAAGUAUGUAUUAAAUGGUAUGAAUUAACAAGUUGUUUUGAAUUACUAAUAGUUUUGUGUAAUAUUCAAGGAGAAAAUGCAAAAUUGCAUGUCUCAAGAGAAAGACACUCAAAAUGAGGGCAUUGAACAAGAACACGAGGAUGUCUAUGCUCGUGUAAUGGGCCAAGAGCGUCGUGGCCGAGUGCGUGGUCUAGGUUUAAGCCCAACUCCAUCCAGGUUCAGGGGCCCAUGAUAGAGCCAUGAAGAUGCCUUAAGGGCUGUUAACGAAGGUAAAAGAGCAGAUAAAGAGCGUUCACAGAAGUUGAAAGAACAAAUUUCAGCUGUCAUCAAACGGCCCCUCAGUCAACUAGAAUCUGAUAAGAUAAAAAAUCCCCUCAAAAUGAACUCAUUUCAAUUCCAAUGUUUGAAUGAAUGGGACUCAGGUCUAUCUGGACAAGUUGUUGGGUCUGCCUCCUCCAUGCUUUCCUAGGUAGUUGGAAGACAAUUGCUUGUAGGUUGAACCUUGAAGCUGUUGAAUUGAUUCAUUUAGAUGACAGCCUAUAUAAUGACAAGCCAUCUAAAGAUAUAAGAUUUGUGUUAUUUUUCUUGGGGAACUACCAGGUACCAAGUCAWCAACUAUCUAUGCAGUUAAUUCUUUUUCCUUUUUUGUUAAUCAAUACUGCACUAUUUUACCACUAUGUUUAUACCUAGUGAUCAGUUCAUGCUACAUGGACAAUCGGGUUACUCAGGCAUCAAUGAGGUUGAUUGCAGACUUUUUUUUUUCAGUAAUUUGUCUUGAUCCAAUGGUCCUGUAAUUUCUCCAAUUGCCAAUUCAGGAGGUGAAGGUAGUAAUUGGUCCAAGUCUGUCAAACCAUGGAUGCAUUGCAAUGUUUUAAAAUGCAUAUGAACCUUAUGCCUUGAGGUUCACCUAGAGGUGAGGCUCAAGGAAAAGGCCUCAAGGUUCAACCUUGAGGCAUGAAGCUUGAUCAGGUGUAAAUAGCACAUUCCCCAAUGGCAAUUGAUAUUCUUACUGGCCUUGCCUAUGUUAUCAUCCAUUCCUUUACAUUACUCUUCCUAUAGAAAGAUGUAGUCAUCCUUAAAAUAUUUUUUGUACUUUUCAUCAUAUUUUUUUUCUUAAAGAAAUGGCAAUUGUAGUAGUUUAAGUGUACAGAUGCUUUAUCAUGUGCUUCUUGUGGAACAAUUUGACAUUGCAAUAACUACAGGUUAUAGAGACAGAAGUAUUGAUGUACCCAUUCUUACAAUAUUUCUAUACUUUUCACCAUAUUAAUUUCAUAUUUUUUCUUAAAGAAAUGGCAAUUUUAGUAGUUUGAAAUAUUACUAAUUUCAACACCUAAUUUCACCAUAGAGACAGAGAAGCAGGAYUCUAUGUUUGAAAUACUAUACAUUCAACACCUAAUUUUAGUAUUCUAAUUAACAUUCUUAUGGGUCCUGUCCUGUAACAGUAUGAAUCAAUGGAUGCACUGAUAUCCAACUGUCCUAGAACAGUAUGGGCCCUGUCCUAUAAAAUUCUUAUGGGUCCUCAUCAACCCAUGCUAUUGCUCAUAUACAGAAAAACUUCUGAACACUCUUACUAGAAACCAAAUAAGAUAGAAAUGCUCCUACAGAGAGCUUAUUUACCUAGCUAGUAAAAGGUCCAAAGCAUCAGUCAUUAUUAACACAUUAGUCCAAUAUACACCGACAGUCAAGGAAACAGUGAAAUCCGUUAAGACAUCGGGAUUUCACUCACCUCUGUAUCGUGCUGCCCAUCCCAAAAAUCAAUAGUAUACAUAUUAGCCUGUAUCAACUGAUGUUCAUUGAUACUUUGAAACUUGACUAAAAGUUCAUGGAGGAAGGUCUUUCCUUUCUCUGUCCCAAAACUCCUCUCAUGCCACCAAAACUACAUUGUGAAGUGUGAAGUUUAAACCCCCCAACCCCCUUAAAUAAUUUCUGAAGAAGCUGCCAGAGCUCAGUAGAGGUUAUGCUGAUGAUGAAGCUACUUGUUUGGCUUGUAUUGGUUGGUCACCAUGGAGGACUCCUGGUUUGUUUGUGUUUACUACUUUGAUGCAAUAUAAAGAAAUAAGGGAAUAAACAUUAGCUUUUGAUGCCAUUAGAUAAUUUAGACCCUGCACAAGUUGGGGCCAAAUAAACCUUGAAAUUAUUUGUGCAAACGUCCCUGCAUCAUAAACCUUGAAAUUAAAGGGCAAGAGGACCAAGUCGGAAAAAUCAUCACCACAGGUAAAGGUGGAAUUACUUCAUUGGAAAAUCUAUUCACCAAAACAUUCUGCAUUGCCCAAAUGUCAAAAGAGAAACUAUUCCAGAAAAUUGAUAAUCAAAACACGUAAACAAGGCUCUUUCGAGAAAUUUAAAACCCUAGAACAAAACCUCACCGAAUUCAUACUUCCCCAAGUAUUCAGAAUAAAAAAAAAAAAAAAAGAAAAGAAAAGAAAACCAACUUCCUACAUCAAUUAUCGCAUAGCAAAA